AGGAAAUCCAAAAAAAAAGUGCAUUUUUUUUUGUAAACUUAAUCGUGUAACUUUGAACAAAAAUUUAUGGCUACAAACAUUCAUUCCGCUGCAGUGCAUUCACUCUUUGAGCUAAUAUUUGUUUUUCAUUUUCAAAAUCAGGUACACAGGAUUUUCUUUCCGGUCUUUUAAUUUACGAAUACUACACAAUGCGUUUAAUAUUACAUGUGGAUUAUUAAAAACAGCUAAACGUGGAAACAAUAACCUCUACGAAAUGUUUUUGCAAAUGCUCUAAGGCUUGUGCGAGCAUCCAAUUAUCGUCUUUUAAAUGAAAUGAAAAACUUCACAUUGUGUGUGCGUUUAUUAUGAAGUUUUUCCAAAUGAAGGUAAAAUUUGCAGGAAAAUUUAAUUAUAUAACUGUGACAAAUUUAUAUUCACACAAUAGCUAAAUAAUUGAAACUGAAAAAGAAAAUAUUUCGUAAAUACAAUAUAUAAAUAAAAAUAUUUUUUGCAGCGCAGUUCGUAACGACCCGAUCAUAUAACAAAAAGUAAAAAAAACGACUUUACUACGUUUGUAAUAAAUUAUACAAGUAAUUCAAUUAAAAUGAAACGCAUCGCAAAAGUUUAAAAUUAUUACAACGAAAUUUGUGUUGCGUUCGAAGUGCAAAGGAAACGUGUGUGUGCUCCCAAAAAAAAAAAAAAAAUAAAUAAAUAAAUUAAAGGAAAAAUUUAAAUACAAACUGUACAUGCAUAGUUUUCUUUAUUUACCUUAACUCGUAUUUCCUAUAUUAAGUAUGAGGAAAUAAUUGUAAUUGAAUUGUAAAACAUGCAAUAUUCAAAUAUGAUAAACAAUGAGAAAAAAGAAUAAUAAGAUGAACGUCAAUACUUGAUUACAUAUUAUGUUAAUAGUAUUAUUAAUGUAAAGAUUGAAUUCGGAAUGCAGCGAAGACUCCCAACUCAUUGCACUUGAAAAACAGGGUAAUUGAUUUUCAAUAAGUGAGGACGAGCAGGAGAAAUAUAAAUCGACUUAAAACGAGAAGUUGAAUACAAUAGAAAGGAAGUAAGCAAAAGAAAAAUAGAAAAAAGAAAUAAUUCUCAUAAAUCUAUUUCAAUGCAUUUAUAAGCAUUUUUCGAAAGAAAAAUAAUAUAGUGAAUGCUUGACGUAUGUGAGUGGUGUUUCAAUAUAAAUAUCUUAAUAAAUAAUAAUAAAAAAAUCUCAAUACGGUGUUAAAAAAAAUAAAAUAAAAUAAAAAUUCAAAUCAAUUCAACUAGAUAAUGUUUAAUUUGAACUAUAUACUAAACCGCUUGUGUAAUUAAGAAAUAGAAGAAUAAAAUAAAAAAUCUUAAUACAAAUUUAAAUGCAAUCAAAUCAAAUAUA